GACGAAGGGGGCUAGCGUUGUUCGGAAUUACUGGGCGUAAAGCGCGUGUAGGCGGUUGCCAUAGUCAGGUGUGAAAGCCUUGAGCUCAACUCAAGAAUUGCACUUGAUACUGGGCGACUAGAGGACCGGAGAGGAUAGUGGAAUUCCCAGUGUAGUGGUGAAAUACGUAGAGAUUGGGAAGAACACCAGUGGCGAAGGCGGCUAUCUGGACGGUUUCUGACGCUAAGACGCGAAAGCGUGGGGAGCAAACAGG
rnacentral:rRNA from 1 species